GUCAGGGUUCCUAGACUCCCAGCUGCGCCGGGGCUCCACGCCAGGGGAGAGAGGGAGGGGGAGGGGAGCGGUGGUCCCACUCCACCCGUAGUCUAGCCCUGCUCCAAGCCGGGCAGAGGGAGAAUGGGACGGCCUUGAGGAAUGCCCUACAACCCCUCCUAAAGUUGAUCAAUCUCUCCUCCCCUCCACCGUUCCCCUAGCUUACUCACCUCCCCACUCCCUUGUUCCCACAGAAGCGCAGCCGCUGCGCUCCGGCCGAUUCAGCAGGAUCAAUAACCAAAGUGCGCAAAGAAGGCGACCUCGGCGAGACCUAGCAGAGAAGAGGAGAGGAAACUUCCUGCCCUGUGCAAGACGGACGCAGAGCUUGGAGGCGUGACGAGUCCGCCUGGCGCGAAUUCACUGGGAUCAGGGAUUCCCCAUUCGCGACUGGGACCUGAGCGCCGGUGUCUCGGGCCUACUGUUCUCCUCUUCACCUUCAGUCUCCCCCUGCGGCCUCACUGUGAUCUCAACCCGCCAAGACCCCAGGGGCCCAGAGAAUUUCUUCCGACUCUUCGCUUCCUCUCUUUUUUGAUAUGUGCAACCAUCACCACUGUCAAUUUUAGAACAUUUUCAUCACCUCAAAAAGAAAUCUGGAUCUCCCAGCCUUCUAUCUCCUCAAACCCCCAGCCCUAAGCAAGCACUAAUCUACUCUCUGUCUCUAUGGAUUUCCCUAUUCUGGAUACUUCAUAUAAAUGGAAUCAUCACCUGUGGCUUUUGUGCCUAGCGUCUUUUAUUAGCAUACUGUUUCAAAUUUCAUCCAUGUUGUAGCAUGUGUCAGUACUUCAUUUCUUUUUCUGACUGAAGAAUAUUUCAUUGUAUGAUUAGCUCACUUUUUGUCUAUCCAUUCAUUAUUGAUGGAAAUUUGGAUUAUUUCUACCUUUUGUGUGAGCAUGUCUGUGACUCCCAAACUGGUUUUCAGCCUGCAGGUCAGCAGCUUGACCAGAAGAGCGGGGAGGUUUCCUGGGAGCAGCUAGAUGAACCCGGCAAGGCUUGGGAAAGGCCACUGAUGGCUAUGGAUCCCCAGCUAAUCAGUCACCUUCUGGAAGCAUUCUUUCU